AUUGCUUCAGCCUCAUAUCCUGUCAUUACGUUUGGUCCAUUUGCUUCACCCACAGCUGUCCUGAAAUCUUUAUCUCGUGCAAUUGGAACUGUUUUUAUGCCUCCAAAGUGGUCCUUAGGUUAUCAACAAUGCCGAUGGAGCUAUGAUUCUGAUACGAGGGUUCGUGAGAUUGCCAAAACAUUUAGGACGAAGGGCAUUCCUUGUGAUGUCAUAUGGAUGGACAUUGACUACAUGGAUG
rnacentral:misc_RNA from 1 species